rnacentral:rRNA from 1 species
GACGAAGGAUGCAAGCGUUAUCCGGAUUCAUUGGGUUUAAAGGGCGCGUAGGUGGCCUUAUAAGUCAGUGGUGAAAUCUCUCGGCUUAACUGAGAAAUUGCCAUUGAUACUGUAGGGCUUGAGUACAGUUGCUGUGGGCGGAAUAUGACAUGUAGUGGUGAAAUACAUAGAGAUGUCAUAGAACACCGAUUGCGAAGGCAGCUCACAAAACUGUAACUGACACUGAGGCUCGAAAGUGCGGGGAUCAAACAGG